AAAUUGAAGAGUUUGAUCAUGGCUCAGAUUGAACGCUGGCGGCAGGCCUAACACAUGCAAGUCGAGCGGUAGCACAGAAGAGCUUGCUCUUUGGGUGACGAGCGGCGGACGGGUGAGUAAUGUCUGGGAAACUGCCUGAUGGAGGGGGAUAACUACUGGAAACGGUAGCUAAUACCGCAUAACCUCGCAAGAGCAAAGAGGGGGACCUUCGGGCCUCUCGCCAUCAGAUGUGCCCAGAUGGGAUUAGCUAGUAGGUGAGGUAAUGGCUCACCUAGGCGACGAUCCCUAGCUGGUCUGAGAGGAUGACCAGCCACACUGGAACUGAGACACGGUCCAGACUCCUACGGGAGGCAGCAGUGGGGAAUAUUGCACAAUGGGCGCAAGCCUGAUGCAGCCAUGCCGCGUGUGUGAAGAAGGCCUUCGGGUUGUAAAGCACUUUCAGCGGGGAGGAAGGCGGUAAGGUUAAUAACCUUAUCGAUUGACGUUACCCGCAGAAGAAGCACCGGCUAACUCCGUGCCAGCAGCCGCGGUAAUACGGAGGGUGCAAGCGUUAAUCGGAAUGACUGGGCGUAAAGCGCACGCAGGCGGUCUGUUAAGUUGGAUGUGAAAUCCCCGGGCUUAACCUGGGAACUGCAUUCAAAACUGACAGGCUAGAGUCUUGUAGAGGGGGGUAGAAUUCCAGGUGUAGCGGUGAAAUGCGUAGAGAUCUGGAGGAAUACCGGUGGCGAAGGCGGCCCCCUGGACAAAGACUGACGCUCAGGUGCGAAAGCGUGGGGAGCAAACAGGAUUAGAUACCCUGGUAGUCCACGCUGUAAACGAUGUCGAUUUGGAGGUUGUGCCCUUGAGGCGUGGCUUCCGGAGCUAACGCGUUAAAUCGACCGCCUGGGGAGUACGGCCGCAAGGUUAAAACUCAAAUGAAUUGACGGGGGCCCGCACAAGCGGUGGAGCAUGUGGUUUAAUUCGAUGCAACGCGAAGAACCUUACCUACUCUUGACAUCCAGAGAAUUUGCUAGAGAUAGCUUAGUGCCUUCGGGAACUCUGAGACAGGUGCUGCAUGGCUGUCGUCAGCUCGUGUUGUGAAAUGUUGGGUUAAGUCCCGCAACGAGCGCAACCCUUAUCCUUUGUUGCCAGCGAUUCGGUCGGGAACUCAAAGGAGACUGCCGGUGAUAAACCGGAGGAAGGUGGGGAUGACGUCAAGUCAUCAUGGCCCUUACGAGUAGGGCUACACACGUGCUACAAUGGCGUAUACAAAGAGAAGCGACCUCGCGAGAGCAAGCGGACCUCAUAAAGUACGUCGUAGUCCGGAUUGGAGUCUGCAACUCGACUCCAUGAAGUCGGAAUCGCUAGUAAUCGUAGAUCAGAAUGCUACGGUGAAUACGUUCCCGGGCCUUGUACACACCGCCCGUCACACCAUGGGAGUGGGUUGCAAAAGAAGUAGGUAGCUUAACCUUCGGGAGGGCGCUUACCACUUUGUGAUUCAUGACUGGGGUGAAGUCGUAACAAGGUAACCGUAGGGGAACCUGCGGUUGGAUCACCUCCUUA
rnacentral:rRNA from 2 species